rnacentral:lncRNA from 10 species
UUCUUGUUUUUUUCUCCUCAGAAAAUAAUCUUCUCCAACUUGCAGUAAAGAACACAGAUCAUUAGUUAGAAGGAAGCACUGCAUUAGCGAGUCCUGAAGAUCCUUUCCAGCUCUUUGAUUAUAUGACAUUCUGACUAGCACAAAGAGGCACACCUGCAAUCCUACUGAGAGUUCCAUGGAUCAUUAAUGAUUAUUCAUGGUGAAGGAAGCAGAGGUAAUGUAGACUCUGAAAGCUGAUACUUCUCAUUGUAGAAGUACACUCUUGUGUUACAGUGUUUUUGUACAUGAGAAAUUCCACCUGCCAGCCCUUGAAGGUCUCUGAGCACAAGGGAUUAACUCAGUGCCCUUUAAGUUAAAAUACGUCCUGCAAACCCAG